UAGGGAAUCUUCGGCAAUGGGGGGAACCCUGACCGAGCAACGCCGCGUGAGUGAAGAAGGUUUUCGGAUCGUAAAGCUCUGUUGUUAAGGAAGAACGAGUGUGAGAAUGGAAAGUUCAUACUGUGACGGUACUUAACCAGAAAGGGACGGCUAACUACGUGCCAGCAGCCGCGGUAAUACGUAGGUCCCGAGCGUUGUCCGGAUUUAUUGGGCGUAAAGCGAGCGCAGGCGGUUAGAUAAGUCUGAAGUUAAAGGCAGUGACUCAACCAUUGUAGGCUUUGGAAACUGUUUAACUUGAGUGCAGAAGGGGGGAGUGGAAUUCCGUGUGUAGCGGUGAAAUGCGUAAAUAUAUGGAGGAACACCGGUGGCGAAAGCGGCUCUCUGGUCUGUAACUGACGAAGAGGCUAGAAAGCGUGUGGAGCUAACAGG
rnacentral:rRNA from 1 species